rnacentral:miRNA from 1 species
UAGGAGUUAUUGGAUUGGGUU